UGCCCUACGGGAGGCAGCAGUGGGGGAUAUUGCACAAUGGGGGAAACCCUGAUGCAGCGACGCCGCGUGAGGGAAGACGGUUUUCGGAUUGUAAACCUCUGUCUUUGGGGACGAAUUGAGACGGUACCCAAGGAGGAAGCUCCGGCUAACUACGUGCCAGCAGCCGCGGUAAUACGUAGGGAGCAAGCGUUGUCCGGAAUUACUGGGUGUAAAGGGAGCGUAGGCGGCCUGGCAAGCCUGAUGUGAAAUACCGGGGCCCAACCCCGGGGCUGCAUUGGGAACUGCCAGGCUGGAGUGCCGGAGAG
rnacentral:rRNA from 1 species